UGGGGAAUUUUGGACAAUGGGGGCAACCCUGAUCCAGCCAUGCCGCGUGAGUGAAGAAGGCCUUCGGGUUGUAAAGCUCUUUCGGCGGGGACGAAACGGUCCGUGACAACACCACGGACUAAUGACAGUACUCGCAGAAGAAGCACCGGCUAACUACGUGCCAGCAGCCGCGGUAAUACGUAGGGUGCAGGCGUUAAUCGGAAUUACUGGGCGUAAAGCGUGCGCAGGCGGCUCCUUAAGUCAGAUGUGAAAUCCCCGGGCUUAACCUGGGAACUGCGUUUGAAACUGAGGGGCUAGAGUGUGGAAGAGGGGGGUGGAAUUCCAGGUGUAGCAGUGAAAUGCGUAGAGAUCUGGAGGAACACCGAUGGCGAAGGCAGCCCCCUGGGCUAACACUGACGCUCAUGCACGAAAGCGUGGGGAGCAAACAGGAUUAGAUACCCGCGUAGUCCCUGAGCGGGCUGGCAAGGCGC
rnacentral:rRNA from 1 species